rnacentral:misc_RNA from 2 species
GAAAUGCGAUACCUAGUGUGAAUUGCAGCCAUCGUGAAUCAUCGAGUUCUUGAACGCACAUUGCGCCCCUCGGCAUUCCGGGGGGCAUGCCUGUUUGAGCGUCGUUUCCAUCUUGCGCGUGCGCAGAGUUGGGGGAGCGGAGCGGACGACGUGUAAAGAGCGUCGGAGCUGCGACUCGCCUGAAAGGGAGCGAAGCUGGCCGAGCGAACUAGACUUUUUUUCAGGGACGCUUGGCGGCCGAGAGCGAGUGUUGCGAGACAACAAAAAGCUCGACCUCAAAUCAGGUAGGAAUACCCGCUGAACUUAA